rnacentral:pre_miRNA from 1 species
AAUGUUUGACGCCAUUGACUUUUUUAAACAUGUUUGACCGUUCGUCUUAUUAAAAAAAUUUAAGUAAUUAUUAAUUAUUUUCCUAUCAUUUGAUUCAUUAUUAAAUAUAUUUUUAUGUAGGCAUAUAAUUUUACAUAUUUCACAAAAGUUUUUCAAUAAGACGAACGGUCAAACAUGUGCUAAAAAGUUAACGGUGUCAAACAUU